CAAGUCGAACGCAAGGGCUUCGGCCUUGAGUGGCGCACGGGUGAGUAGCGCGUGGGAACCUGCCCUGGAGUGGGGGAUAACCGAGGGAAACUUCGGCUAAUACCGCAUGCGCCCGGGAAACCGGGGAAAGAUUUAUCGCUCUAGGAGGGGCCCGCGUCGGAUUAGCUAGUUGGUGGGGUAACGGCCUACCAAGGCGAUGAUCCGUAGCUGGUCUGAGAGGAUGAUCAGCCACACUGGGACUGAGACACGGCCCAGACUCCUACGGGAGGCAGCAGUGGGGAAUAUUGGACAAUGGGCGAAAGCCUGAUCCAGCAAUGCCGCGUGAGUGAGGAAGGCCUUAGGGUUGUAAAGCUCUUUCGGCGGGGACGAUGAUGACGGUACCCGCAGAAGAAGCCCCGGCUAACUUCGUGCCAGCAGCCGCGGUAAUACGAAGGGGGCGAGCGUUGUUCGGAUUUACUGGGCGUAAAGGGCGCGCAGGCGGUUCUGUUUGUCGAGUGUGAAAGCCCCGGGCUCAACCUGGGAACUGCGCUCGAAACGGCGGAACUAGAGUUCGGGAGAAGAGAGUGGAAUUCCCAGUGUAGAGGUGAAAUUCGUAGAUAUUGGGAAGAACACCGGUGGCGAAGGCGGCUCUCUGGACCGAUACUGACGCUGAGGCGCGAAAGCGUGGGGAGCAAACAGGAUUAGAUACCCUGGUAGUCCACGCUGUAAACGAUGUGUGCUAGACGUUGGGGAGCCUAGCUCUUC
rnacentral:rRNA from 1 species